UACGGAGGAUGCGAGCGUUAUCCGGAUUUAUUGGGUUUAAAGGGUGCGUAGGCGGAUAUGUAAGUCAGCGGUGAAACUCACAGGCUCAACCUGUGCCGUGCCGUUGAAACUGUGUAUCUGGAAUGCGGAUGCUGUGGGAGGAAUGUGUAGUGUAGCGGUGAAAUGCAUAGAUAUUACACAGAACACCGAUUGCGAAGGCAUCUCACAAAGCCGUUAUUGACGCUGAGGCACGAAAGUGUGGGGAUCAAACA
rnacentral:rRNA from 1 species